rnacentral:lncRNA from 1 species
AAAAAUAUAAUUUUUUUAUUUUAUCACUUUUUUAUUUAUAGGUUAAUUUGCAAUGCUAUGGCAAUUUCCUCAUGUUUGAAAAAAUACGAUCAAUGGCCAUCAAUGAGUUUGAUCUCAAUCCUGAAGUAUUUACUUCAACUUUGCAGUUCAUUCAGAAAGCAUCUUCAGAAGCCAGUCCUUAAGCUGAAAACUAUGAAGGAAGAGGCUGGAAAAGGUUCUUGUACCUGCCACGGCCAAAUGGUGACGACUCAGCCUUGAAGAUGAAGACAGGAGUGUGUGCUGGGGGCGAUGGCCAGCGGCUGCAGUCCACAGGGGAGUGUCACUGCUGCAUUACUUUAGAGAUGGUCACAACAGUGUGGUUUGUCCCAUAAAGACUGCUUUAUUUUCAUUCAGUUCAGAGACAUGAGAGGUGCAUAAGAACAAGCUGUAGACAAGGUAUAAAAGCACUCCAAAGGAGGUUGAUUUACUCUAGAGGGAGGAAGUCAUCUUGUGUGAUCCUAAAUUAAAGUUUUUGGUUUAAUCACAAUUUUGCCCUAAGGUUUUGGCUGUUCAGAAGAAUGAACUAUAUAAUCUGAUAGUUUUUUGACACUCAAUAACUAGCAGUCCUUAGAAAUCUGACUUUUUGAAGCAGUAAUGCUAAGGAGACAGACACAUUACUAACCUGGAGCACCGCUUGCCUAGCAAGCAGGAGGUAUAUUACUGAGCUAAAAGCACAUAGUAUUUCUAACAUAACUAACUGCAGAUUAAAGGCUGCUGUCAGGAAAGGUGCUUUACUCAGCUUCCAGCAUGGAUGGCAGCUGCUCUGUGUAUUUGAGAGGUAGUAGUAGUAGUAGUCAGAUAUUUUUUGUGUUCAUUGUUAGUGAGGUGAUCUGAGUCAGACACUGAAUCUUACCAAGGUCAGAAGAGACGACCAGCAAGCAGCUUUACCUGUCUCCUGCCACUACAGGUAAAGAACAUGGGGACAAAGUGGUUGUGCAGCUGCUGUUGUUGCACUCCAGACUGACCUGAGAGGUUUCAUGCUGGUUUUACAUGACUUGUUUCCAACAUACUCCACAGAAACUGAUGCCUGCAGGCAUGUGUGGAACGGGAAACAGACAGAGGCAGGGACAUAAUUUCCCAAAGCUGCCUUCAGACCUUACCCUUACUUUUGAUCCAUGAGACAGCUGGCAAGAAUUUGAUAGGCCCUUAAGUAGGAGAAAAGCUGCUUACCACAAAUAAAGGGGUGGAGGACACAUAUUCA